GAGCCAUUAGGAGUAUCUGACUUUUAAUCAGAGGGUCAGAGGUUCGAAUCCUCUAUGGCUCACCA
rnacentral:tRNA from 1 species